GACUGGAGCUUGGAGCGGUGAGC
rnacentral:miRNA from 1 species